GAUAAUAUGCCAGCAAACUAUAUUAGCUCUUACACUCUAAGGAAUGUUGUGACAAGACGUGUGCAGGCAAGGGGCAACAAAAGAAGCGAAUGUGUACAAUCCGCAAGUGCAAGCGAGAAGCAAGGUAGAUCAACUUAAGAAGCUCUAUCAAAGUGUGUUUAAGGUUCCUUGUCGUCGUGAUAUCGUCGUCAGCCUAGCUAACCAUC